AUUGAACGCUGGCGGCAUGCCUUACACAUGCAAAUCGAACGGCAGCACGGGGGCAACCCUGGUGGCGAGUGGCGAACGGGUGAGUAAUGCAUCGGAACGUGCCCAGUAGUGGGGGAUAACUAGUCGAAAGAUUAGCUAAUACCGCAUACGACCUACGGGUGAAAGCGGGGGAUUCGCAAGAACCUCGCGCUAUCGGAGCGGCCGAUGUCUGAUUAGCUAGUUGGCGGGGAAAAGCCCACCAAGGCUUCGAUCAGUAGCUGGUCUGAGAGGACGACCAGCCACACUGGGACUGAGACACGGCCCAGACUCCUACGGGAGGCAGCAGUGGGGAAUUUUGGACAAUGGGCGCAAGCCUGAUCCAGCCAUGCCGCGUGCGGGAAGAAGG
rnacentral:rRNA from 1 species